rnacentral:lncRNA from 1 species
GGGCUGGGUAAUUUUCUGGCUCUGAGAGGCUGUAUUUCUUACAUUAAAGACAGCCCAACACUGGCAUCCAUUUAUAUAUUUUUUUAGAUGGAGUCUUGCUCUGUCGCCAGGCUGGAGCACAGUGGCACAAUCUUGGCUCACUGCAACCUCUGCCUCCUGGGUUCAAGCGAUUCCCCUGCCUCAGUCUCCCAAGUAGCUGGGACUACAGGUGCGGG